rnacentral:rRNA from 1 species
AGAGUUUGAUCAUGGCUCAGAACGAACGCUGGCGGCGUGCUUAACACAUGCAAGUCGAACGAGAAGUACGUAGCAAUACGUAUUGUAAAGUGGCGCACGGGUGAGUAACACGUGGGUAAUCUGCCCUUGAGUUUGGGAUAACCCCGCGAAAGCGGGGCUAAUACCGAAUAAGACCACGGGGACCAAAGUCCCUGGGGUAAAAGGUGGCCUCUAUUUAUAAGCUACCCCUUGAGGAUGAGCCCGCGGCCCAUUAGCUAGUUGGCGGGGUAAUGGCCCACCAAGGCAAUGAUGGGUAGCUGGUCUGAGAGGACGAUCAGCCACACUGGAACUGAGACACGGUCCAGACUCCUACGGGAGGCAGCAGUGGGGAAUAUUGCGCAAUGGGCGAAAGCCUGACGCAGCAACGCCGCGUGGGGGAUGAAGGUUUUCGGAUUGUAAACCCCUUUCGAUCGGAACGAAUCUCCUUCUGGUAAAUAAUCAGGAGGAUCGACGGUACCGGGAGAAGAAGCCACGGCUAACUCUGUGCCAGCAGCCGCGGUAAGACAGAGGUGGCAAGCGUUGUUCGGAUUUAUUGGGCGUAAAGCGAACGCAGGCGGUUUGGUAAGUCAGAGGUGAAAGACCACAGCUUAACUGUGGUAUUGCCUUUGAUACUGCCUUUCUUGAGUGGAGUAGGGGGAAGCGGAAUUCCGAGUGUAGAGGUGAAAUUCGUAGAUAUUCGGAGGAACACCGGUGGCGAAGGCGGCUUCCUGGACUCUAACUGACGCUCAUGUUCGAAAGCGUGGGUAGCAAACAGGAUUAGAUACCCUGGUAGUCCACGCCCUAAACGAUGGGCACUAGGUGUGGGAGGUAUCGACCCCUUCCGUGCCGCAGCUAACGCAUUAAGUGCCCCGCCUGGGGAGUACGGCCGCAAGGUUGAAACUCAAAGGAAUUGACGGGGGCCCGCACAAGCGGUGGUGCAUGUGGUUUAAUUUCGACGCAACGCGAAGAACCUUACCUAGGCUUGACAUCCCUGGAACCUCCUGGAAACAGGGGGGUGCUCGCAAGAGAGCCAGGAGACAGGUGCUGCAUGGCCUGUC